AACGAACGCUGGCGGCAGGCCUAACACAUGCAAGUCGAGCGAACCCUUCGGGGUUAGCGGCGGACGGGUUAGUAACGCGUGGGAAUAUACCCUUUGGUACGGAAUAGCCUCGGGAAACUGAGAAUAAUACCGUAUGUGCCCUUCGGGGAAAGAUUUAUCGCCAAAGGAUUAGCCCGCGUUGGAUUAGAUAGUUGGUGGGGUAAUGGCCUACCAAGUCUACGAUCCAUAGCUGGUUUGAGAGGAUGAUCAGCAACACUGGGACUGAGACACGGCCCAGACUCCUACGGGAGGCAGCAGUGGGGAAUCUUAGACAAUGGGCGCAAGCCUGAUCUAGCCAUGCCGCGUGGACGAUGAAGGCCUUAGGGUUGUAAAGUCCUUUCAGAUGGGAAGAUAAUGACGGUACCAUCAGAAGAAGCCCCGGCUAACUCCGUG
rnacentral:rRNA from 1 species